rnacentral:lncRNA from 1 species
UUCUGGUCCAGCACAAAUAGGUUCAGUGUUGUGUUGCUGCUCAGUGGAGGGGUCCCACUGUCUCUAGCUGUUAUUUGUAAUUGCAGGUCUCUAAACUGCUCAUAGUCAAAGGAGCAAAGAGCAUACAGGACACCAGUGUUGGAGUUGAUGGAGAUGUAGGAUGACAGUGGCAGCCCCUGAAGUGUGUCCUCAGCCAGUGACGGGAGCCUCCUCUGGGACCGAGCCUGUGAGGGAAGUGACUGAGACUUCCGGGGCGUUGUCAUUCACAUCCAGAACCGUUACAAGAACCUUGGCUCUUGAAAAAAGACCUGGUCCGUCUUGUGCUUCAAUUUUGAUUUCAUAGAACACAGCGUCCUCAUAAUCAAGACUUUUUAAUAUUGAUAUAUCUCCGGUCACUGAGUUGAGAUGGAAAACCUGAGCAAUUUUCCCAGGCAUUUUAUCCAGAAUAUAGGACACUUGAGCAUUGAAUCCCUCAUCAGGAUCAGUGGCGUUCACUGUGAUCAGCCGGGUGCCCACUGGCACAUUUUCCAAAACACUGACAUGGUACUCUGGCUUGGUAAACACAGCUUAUCCUCCACAAGGAUGUUAAAGCU